UGAGAUUUAACUCAAGUGGUAAAGUGCUUGCCUGGCAAACAAGAGGCCCCAAAUUCAAUCCCUGGGAUUUCAA
rnacentral:tRNA from 1 species